rnacentral:rRNA from 1 species
GACGAACGCUGGCGGCGUGCUUAACACAUGCAAGUCGAGCGGUAAGGCCCUUUCGGGGGUACACGAGCGGCGAACGGGUGAGUAACACGUGGGUGACCUGCCUCUAGCUCUGGGAUAAGCCCGGGAAACUGGGUCUAAUACUGGAUAUGACUCCAUGACGCAUGUUGUGGGGUGGAAAGUCUUGUGCGGCUAGAGAUGGGCCCGCGGCCUAUCAGCUUGUUGGUGGGGNAUGGCCUACCAAGGCGACGACGGGUAGCCGGCCUGAGAGGGCGACCGGCCACACUGGGACUGAGACACGGCCCAGACUCCUACGGGAGGC